rnacentral:tRNA from 1 species
UAUAUUUGGGUGUAAUCAUAUGAAUUUUUGAAAUUCAAGAUUUUAAUUGAAAUUAAAAAAUAUAA